rnacentral:rRNA from 1 species
CCUACGGGAGGCAGCAGUGAGGAAUAUUGGUCAAUGGGCGUAAGCCUGAACCAGCCAAGUCGCGUGAGGGAUGAAGGUUCUAUGGAUCGUAAACCUCUUUUAUAAGGGAAUAAAGUGCGGGACGUGUCCCGUUUUGUAUGUACCUUAUGAAUAAGGAUCGGCUAACUCCGUGCCAGCAGCCGAGGUAAUACGGAGGAUCCGAGCGUUAUCCGGGUUGAGUGGGUUUAAAGGGUGCGUGGGGGGGCUUUUAAGUCAGCGGUGAAAGUCGGGGGCUCAACCAUCGAAUGGCCGUUGAAACUGGGAGGGUUGAGUGUGUGUGAGGCAGGAGGAAGGCGGGGUGUGGCGGGGGAGUGCUGAGAGAUAACGCAGAACGCCGAGGGGGAAGGCAGCCUGCCAAGCCAUGAGUGACGCUGAGGGACGAAAGCGUGGGGAUCAAACAGGAUUAGAUACCCUUGUAGUC